CCACCUCCAGCUACUCGUCGCCUCUUUCCAGUUUUCGGAUGUUCCCACUGGGUCUUCAUCUCCUCAUGGCUGUGUGAGACACAUACACACCUGGUGGUAGCUCGUCCUCACUGUCAGUGUCAUCCAAACCUGCGAAUUUUAGAGCUGCCAUGCUGCCUUAUUGUGGGGUUCUCUGCAACCUCGCGAACAAUAUGAGGUGAACAAAACACUUAGACAGCACUUCCGGGAUUGAUGCGUGCGGCGUGCGCGCAAGGGGACCUGGGAGAUGCAGUCCUUUGCUUCAACAGCAGGUGUCCUGUGCGCAUCUGGUGAGCUAACAAAAAGGCAAACUCGUCUGUUCUCACUCUGUGCGAGGUCUGCGUGUGUAGACUCUCACAGAGGAUUUUUGCCUUGCUUCUUUUGACAAAGGCAAACAAAAUGAUUCGAUCUGUGUGAUGCUUCGCCGUUCAGCAAGACCAACUUGUACACAAUGAAUUCAUAGGAAGAAGAAAAAAACUUGAAGAUUGGCCAAGUCAAUACCAAAAUUAAAAA